rnacentral:misc_RNA from 1 species
GAGUUUAGCUUGUGUCUUAAUUUCUUACGCGCCAUUGGAUUUUCGACUCAACUUUUAUGUCAUUGUUAUGCAGUGAGAUCCUUGAUGGGAGAAAGGGUUCAGAAAUCUCUUCUCAGGGAUCUGCAACAGCCAGAAAAUCCCAAGAUGCAGCUGUAGGUGCCCUUGUUCACAUGCUGAGAACUGCUCCUCCUUUGCGCCAAGAUUCUAGCUGUUAUACCUCGAAUAGCAUAAAGACUGAACUGGAUGGAGAACUUAGCACUGCAUCUGGAUUUUUCAUUAGUAGAAAGGCAUCCGAUGCGUUGGAGGAGCUCAAAACUUAUAAAGAUUUGAAAGAUCUACUGUUGUCCAAGAGCGCAACCCGUUCAGUCAGUGAGGGUUGAAUUUAAACCUGAUGUAUCCCACUUACAAAAGUUAGCUCAAAAUGGAUGAUGGUAGUUGAUAAUUCUCCCUAAUGUUAAUG